rnacentral:rRNA from 1 species
AAUCAACGCUGGCGGCGUGCCUAACACAUGCAAGUCGAACGCGAAAGUCCCGCAAGGGGCAAGUAGAGUGGCAAACGGGUGAGUAACACGUGGGUGACCUGCCUUCGAGUGGGGGAUAACGUCCCGAAAGGGACGCUAAUACCGCAUGACAUCCUGCUUUUGGAAAAGCGGAGAUCAAAGCCGGGGAUCGCAAGACCUGGCGCUCGAAGAGGGGCCCGCGCCUGAUUAGCUAGUUGGNGAGGUAACGGCUCACCAAGGCUACGAUCAGUAUCCGGCCUGAGAGGGCGGACGGACACACUGGGACUGAGACACGGCCCAGACUCCUACGGGAGGCAGCAGUGGGGAAUUGUUCGCAAUGGGCGCAAGCCUGACGCAGCGACGCCGCGUG